AUUGAACGCUAGCGGGAUGCUUUAAACAUGCAAGUCGAACGAGUGGCGGACGGGUGAGUAAUAUAUAGGAACGUGCCCAGUAGCGGGGGAUAACUACUCGAAAGAGUGGCUAAUACCGCAUACGAUUGGAGCUGCAGAUAUCGGAUUAGCUAGUGGGUGGGGUAAAGGUUCACCAAGGCAACGAACCGUAGCUGGUUGGAGAGGAAGACCGGCCACACUGGGACUGAGACACGGCCCAGACUCCUACGGUAGGCAGCAGUGGGGAAUUUUGGACAAUGGGGGAAACCCUGAUCCAGCCAUCCCGCGUGUAUGAGAAGGCCUUCGGGUUGUAAAGUACUUUUGGCAGAGAAGCGGUAUCUGCAGAAUAAGCACCGGCUAACUACGUGCCAGCCGCCGCGGUAAUAC
rnacentral:rRNA from 1 species